rnacentral:rRNA from 1 species
CCUACGGGCGGCAGCAGUGAGGAAUAUUGGUCAAUGGGCGCGAGCCUGAACCAGCCAAGUCGCGUGAGGGAAGACGGUCCUAUGGAUUGUAAACCUCUUUUGUCGGGGAGCAAAGGCCGCCACGCGUGGCGUUCCGAGUGUACCCGAAGAAAAAGCAUCGGCUAACUCCGUGCCAGCAGCCGCGGUAAUACGGAGGAUGCGAGCGUUAUCCGGAUUUAUUGGGUUUAAAGGGUGCGCAGGCGGACAAUCAAGUCAGCGGUAAAAUUGCGAGGCUCAACCUCGUCGAGCCGUUGAAACUGGUUGUCUUGAGUGAGCGAGAAGUAUGCGGAAUGCGUGGUGUAGCGGUGAAAUGCAUAGAUAUCACGCAGAACUCCGAUUGCGAAGGCAGCAUACCGGCGCUCAACUGACGCUCAGGCACGAAAGUGUGGGUAUCGAACAGGAUUAGAUACCCGUGUAGUC